rnacentral:rRNA from 1 species
UGGGGAAUAUUGCACAAUGGGGGGAACCCUGAUGCAGCAACGCCGCGUGAGUGAAGAAGUAUUUCGGUAUGUAAAGCUCUAUCAGCAGGGAAGAAGAAAGACGGUACCUGACUAAGAAGCCCCGGCUAACUACGUGCCAGCAGCCGCGGUAAUACGUAGGGGGCAAGCGUUAUCCGGAUUUACUGGGUGUAAAGGGAGCGUAGACGGUAAUGCAAGUCUGAAGUGAAAGCCCGCAGCUUAACUGUGGGACUGCUUUGGAAACUGUAGUACUAGAGUGCAGGAGAGGUAAGUGGAAUUCCUAGUGUAGCGGUGAAAUGCGUAGAUAUUAGGAGGAACACCAGUGGCGAAGGCGGCUUACUGGACUGUAACUGACGUUGAGGCUCGAAAGCGUGGGGAGCAAACAGG